rnacentral:rRNA from 1 species
GUAGCGCGUGGGAAUCUGCCCUCAGGAGGGGGAUAACGGCUGGAAACGGCCGCUAAUACCCCAUAUGCCGAGAGGUGAAAUGAAUUUCGCCUGAGGAUGAGCCCGCGUCUGAUUAGCUAGUUGGUGGGGUAAUGGCCCACCAAGGCGACGAUCAGUAGCUGGUCUGAGAGGAUGAUCAGCCACACUGGGACUGAGACACGGCCCAGACUCCUACGGGAGGCAGCAGUGGGGAAUUUUCCGCAAUGGGCGAAAGCCUGACGGAGCAACGCCGCGUGAGGGAUGAAGGCCUCUGGGCUGUAAACCUCUUUUCUCAAGGAAGAAGACAUGACGGUACUUGAGGAAUAAGCCACGGCUAAUUCCGUGCCAGCAGCCGCGGUAAUACGGGAGUGGCAAGCGUUAUCCGGAAUUAUUGGGCGUAAAGCGUCCGCAGGCGGCCUUGUAAGUCUGUCGUUAAAGCGUGGAGCUUAACUCCAUUUAAGCGAUGGAAACUACAAGGCUUGAGUGUGGUAGGGGCAGAGGGAAUUCCCGGUGUAGCGGUGAAAUGCGUAGAUAUCGGGAAGAACACCAGUGGCGAAGGCGCUCUGCUGGGCCAUAACUGACGCUCAUGGACGAAAGCCAGGGGAGCGAAAGGGAUUAGAUACCCCUGUAGUCCUGGCCGUAAACGAUGAACACUAGGUGUCGGGGGAAUCGACCCCCUCGGUGUCGUAGCUAACGCGUUAAGUGUUCCGCCUGGGGAGUACGCACGCAAGUGUGAAACUCAAAGGAAUUGACGGGGGCCCGCACAAGCGGUGGAGUAUGUGGUUUAAUUCGAUGCAACGCGAAGAACCUUACCAGGGUUUGACAUCCUGCGAAUCCCUUGGAAACUUGGGAGUGCCUUCGGGAGCGCAGAGACAGGUGGUGCAUGGCUGUCGUCAGCUCGUGUCGUGAGAUGUUGGGUUAAGUCCCGCAACGAGCGCAACCCACGUCUUUAGUUGCCAGCAUUCAGUUGGGCACUCUAGAGAGACCGCCGGUGAUAAACCGGAGGAAGGUGUGGAUGACGUCAAGUCAUCAUGCCCCUUACAUCCUGGGCUACACACGUACUACAAUGCUACGGACAAAGGGCAGCAAGCUCGCGAGAGUUAGCAAAUCCCAUAAACCGUGGCUCAGUUCAGAUCGUAGGCUGCAACUCGCCUACGUGAAGGAGGAAUCGCUAGUAAUCGCAGGUCAGCAUACUGCGGUGAAUACGUUCCCGGGCCUUGUACACACCGCCCGUCACACCAUGGAAGUUGGCCAUGCCCGAAGUCGUUACUCCAACCCUUGUGGAGGAGGACGCCGAAGGUGGGGCUGAUGACUGGGGUGAAGUCGUAACAAGGUA